rnacentral:lncRNA from 1 species
AGUUGAAUUGAUAUCUCAAACCUUAUAAUUGAAUUAUUUGGUAUUGGGUGAGCUGCAGCAAAAUAAUUUUGACGAAUGAGGGGAGGGAGGAAGUCGGUGGCUCAUGGCUGUGAGCGGCGUCAGAAUAUGAGAGAGAGGGAGAACUGAGAGACGAGAGAUGAGAGAGGAGAGAAAGAACGAAGGGAGAGGUGGAGACGCCGCCUCCGACGACGGCACCGCUGUCGAGCCGGCGGCAGCAGGAGCGCCGAGA